GUCUCAAAUCAUGGAAGAGAGCAGCAAGGUUUGAGUCGCGUUAUUUUGACGCCAGCAAUUCUCAAAUAGGAAUAUGUUUGGCAACGAUGAUACAAAGUUCGCCACCUGCUUUGAAUGGCUACGCUGCUUUUCCAGGUACCCGCUUGUUCAGUUUUCCUCUUCAUUUCCAAAAUUCCAAUCCAUUUCUCAAAAUUCGGUCUGAUCGACUCGGGGUCCUUAGUGGCAGAGAGAGUGGUAGCUAUCGGGGUGGUGACUAAUGAGUACAGUAUGUUUUGGUUAAAUAAAUUAUUUUGCAUUUGGCUAGCUGUUUGAACAUAUUAAUAAUAGGGAGUGCCAUGCUAUCUACCAGUUGUAAGGAAGUAAGGUCAUUAAGCUCUUAGAACCAAGAUCCAUGGCUGUAUGUAUGUAUCUUGUCCACGCAUAUAAACAGAUAUCUUUAAGGCGGGAUAACCUUGCCCCUUGCCUAGUUUUCGGUUAAAAUAGCACGAGACUUCUGACAGUUAUUUGUCUUAGUGAAAAUUUUAUGGUGAAUAGAUUAGAUGUGUUAAUCAUAAAAUCUGGAAUUUCUGUAGGCCGGAGUGUUUAGGUGCUGUUUAAAUAUUUUGGUCCUCGAAUAUUUUUGAAUUAUAGUUUUACUGAAGUUAUCAUAUGUUUAUAAUUUGUUCUCUGAAUAACUUGAUAAGUGUCCCCAAUAAAAAUUUGGUGAUUUAAAUUCUUCUUAUUUGUUCUCUUUUCCUUCAUACUGUUAGACUGUUCAGCAAGAAAGAUCCAACAUUUGUGUCUUUUUGAUGCUACUAUUAGUAUGAGUAUUCAUUGCAGCCACAAUUACAAGGGUUGGAGCUACUGGGCAUCAUCAACAUUCAGCAAGAGUAUAUUUUUGAGAGUGGGCUUUUUGUAUAUGAUCAGUCUUUUUUUUUAUUCACAAUUAUUCACUCACUUCCAUCACUAAUAUAAAAUCCAAUCAGCUUUCCCUCCUGUAAUUGCAACACUGUAUUCAUUAGUGAAAUCUUCUCUCUUUUGAUAAUAUGAGCUCUCCAAAGAAGCAAAAACAAUCUAUUUGACACAACUAAAAUCUCAAAC
rnacentral:lncRNA from 1 species